UUUUGUUAUGUGCACCAAGGUAUGUGCGGAUGUGUGCCACCAUUAGAAACAAAAAACCUAGAUAUAAUAUAUAUUUUUAAAAAGUUACCAUAGGAAUAGUUACUCCAGCCAGGACAGGUUAGACAUUUUAGAACUCACUACUCAAAGAAUUAAAUUUAAGUAUAAGAGAAAAAUAAAAAUUAUGAAAUGCAUAGACCAGUCAAAAAACUAAAAGAACAGACUUUGAAAGAAUAAAAUUACAGAGAAUAUAUGGGCAUUGCAGGAAGUACUAAGACGUAACAGCAACAGUAGUACAAGUAUGUGUUGGGAGGUGAGUGAGACACACAGACUGUGUGUGUGUGUGUGUGUGGAGAAAGAGACUUUGUGUGUG